CACGUGUUGCUGUGGAGAGCCCCUUUCUUCCCUCCCAGUCUCCACCUUCCCAGGCACCGUUCCUGCUUUUCAGCAAAGCCCAGGGGUAGGUGGGUUGGGGGAGACUUGCCAGGCAGAGCACUCGGAUUUGGCCUUGGGACUCUCUGGGCCUCAUCCACCCCACUGGCCCAUGCCACAGCCAGCAGCAGGGCCAGCUUCUCUCUCUCCCUGCAGCCUCCGAUUCUGCCUCCUGCACAGGCCUGGUGCUUGCUUCAGUGUAGAAGCUGCCUCCUGGAACUCAGCUGGUCCAUGCUUCCUAACACCUGCCUUCUGCAUGGCCCACAGAGAGGAAGAACACACAUGUGAGUUUACUCCACAGACAGAGAGCAGCCUCACAGCACAUGGAAAGACCUGGCCGUCUACAGCGUCACUGAAAUCACUGAGAGCGAGUCAGGUCCACUGUGGGCCCUUAAGAGAGCUCCAGACUGCGGAUGGGUUUCAGACGCUUUUCUCAAAUUAUUUCCUCAUUGCUCGAAGGCUCAGGAUCUGUCCUCAUCCCAGGGGGCCUGAGACUCUUCCGUUCCCUACUCUCAGCUCUCUAAACAGCUUCCUGACCUGCGCUGGCCCAGGCCCCGUGGGGUCCCCAGCCUUCCUGGCUUCCGCCUGUCCCUCUCUGUGACCCCAAUUGGCAGAUUCAGCCUGACAAGGGGGCUUCGGGAGUUGCCUGGAGCUCUGCGAGGUGAGAGAGGAGCAGAUUGUAAUUAUAUUGUCAUCGUUGUUCCCAUUUUUCUUUUAAACUCUGGUCCUGUUGAAUCCUGAAAUAAGAACUGCACCUUAAUCCCCAGUGUGUGGCUUCCAGGUCCUCACCUGUUUUAUUUUCAUUUUGAAGGACUUUAUUAUUUAUCCACAUAUGUAGGCAGAGAUGUCCCAUACCUCCUGUUCCCUGGUCAACAUCCCCAGUGGAGCAGCACGUGGUGCAGGGGGUGGACUGACACUGGCCUGUCACUGUCACCCAGAGCGGCCAGACAGUGUAUAAUGGUGGCACGACAUCGCAGUCCUGACAACAUCUUGAAGAAUAAACCUUCUGCCCUCCACGCCCUCUGUGCUUCCCAUCAUCUUCCCCUGGACCCUGGCAACCAUUCCUGUCACUGCCGCUGUAUUUGGCCUCUUCCGUGAAGUCUCAGAGUCUACUUCAUCCUGGGCAUUCAAGGUCCCUCCAUCUUUCUCCGUGUCUUGAAAGCGCGUUCCUUUUUGGCGCUGGCUAACAUCCCAUGGUCUGGAUGCGCCAUAGCUUGUCCGCUCCCCCGCUCAAGGGCAAUUUCCAAGUUCCAAGGUCAGUCUCAAGUGUGGCAACCGUGCACAAAGCUGCUGUAAACGUCUUUGUGCAGGCCCAUGUGGACACGAGGCCCGGCUGUGAGCCCGUGGAGGGAGGGGCUUAGCGCUGUGGGAAAUGGCCUGGUUGCCUUCCAAAGCGGCUCUGCCACUUGCCAUCCCCUCGGUAGGAACUGAGACCCUGUGGCUCCGCCGGCUCCACCGUGGCUGCUCUAACAGGUGUACACAGGAUGUGCUCAUUCUUGGAUGCCGUCAUCAGGCCCUGGAUCCAGCCUCUGGUGCCUACUGGAGUCCAAGUUCAAAACUGUUUCCUCUGGCAACAGCAAAGACACCAGCUGUGUGGCCCUGCUGGCCUCCUCGGGUGGGACCGGAUGACAUUCUCGUUGUCUGGGUCAUCAGCGCCCCCUUGUUUCCUGGGCGCUGAGUCUUGCUCCUCCCUGGUAAAGGGCACAUAGUGGGCGCUCAGGAAGCCUCUUCAGGUUGUGUGAGCUUUCACGCUGCUGUGAUCAAC
ensembl:lncRNA